GUCUUUUUCUCUAGUAAUCGUGUUUUUUAUCGGAAAUGGGCCGAAAAUUCUUCGUCGGCUGUAACUGGAAAUGCGUAAGUCUCCGAUCUACGUUAUUGUUGUUGUAAAUCAAGCACGUGAACUUUUAUUUUGUUUUGUGUAUUGUUACGAUCUGAUCAGAUUCGUUUUUGUUUAACCUAAUUUGAGUUAGUUGUGGACGUUUUCUUGAUCUAUGUGUUUUGAUUUCACGGUAUCGAUGGUCUAUUUAUUCGUGUUUAUUCGAGUUAAGUAAGUAGAUUAGGUUUUGAUGAACUAUUUUGACUUUACACUAUAUUGGAAAAUAUGUUAUUCUAGUUAAUUAACAGUUUAGUUGAGUGGUGAUGUUGAUACGCAUGUUUUGAACUCGAAAUUAGUUCGAGAGAAUGAUUUCUGGAAGGAUCUGUCAAGGAAAAUUGCUGGAUGCAUUGAAAUUACUCUGCUGUACACUUACUGUUGGAUUAUUAGCUAUAUGGAUGUAG
rnacentral:lncRNA from 1 species